GAUGAACGCUGGCGGCGUGCCUAAUACAUGCAAGUCGAGCGAACAGACGAGGAGCUUGCUCCUCUGACGUUAGCGGCGGACGGGUGAGUAACACGUGGAUAACCUACCUAUAAGACUGGGAUAACUUCGGGAAACCGGAGCUAAUACCGGAUAAUAUAUUGAACCGCAUGGUUCAAUAGUGAAAGACGGUUUUGCUGUCACUUAUAGAUGGAUCCGCGCCGCAUUAGCUAGUUGGUAAGGUAACGGCUUACCAAGGCAACGAGGCGUAGCCGACCUGAAGGAGUAAUCGGCCACAUGGGAACUGAGACACGAUCCAGACUCCUACGGGAGGCAGCAGUAGGGAAUGUACCGCAAUGGGGGAAAGCCUAACGGAGCAACGCCGCGAGAGUGAUGAAGGUCUUCGUAUCGUAAAACUCUGUUAUUAGGGAAGAAGAAAUGUGUAAGUAACUAUGUAAGUCUUGACGGUACCUAAUCAGAAAGCCACGGCUAACUACGU
rnacentral:rRNA from 1 species